UACGAAGGGGGCUAGCGUUGCUCGGAAUCACUGGGCGUAAAGGGUGCGUAGGCGGGUCUUUAAGUCAGGGGUGAAAUCCUGGAGCUCAACUCCAGAACUGCCUUUGAUACUGAAGAUCUUGAGUUCGGGAGAGGUGAGUGGAACUGCGAGUGUAGAGGUGAAAUUCGUAGAUAUUCGCAAGAACACCAGUGGCGGAGGCGGCUCACUGGCCCGAUACUGACGCUGAGGCACGAAAGCGUGGGGAGCAAACAGGG
rnacentral:rRNA from 1 species